ensembl:snRNA U6 U6 spliceosomal RNA
UCGCUUGGGAAUCGCAUACACUAAAACUGGAAACAUCUAAAGGAGAUUAGCGUGGCCCCUGUGCAAGGAUGACACGAAAAUUCAUGAAGCAUUCCGUAUUUUU